rnacentral:rRNA from 1 species
GACUAACGCUAACGGUGUGCUUAAUACAUGCAAGUCGAACGAGCAAUGUGAGAGUGGCAACACUCCUGCAAAGCUAGUGGCGAACGGGUGAGUAACGCGUAGGUAAUCUACCUUGAAGAUUAGGAUACCUUCCGAAAGGAAGGCUAAUACUAAAAUUUUAUGUUUUUCGUAUGAUUAAUAUAACAAAGGUAGCCGCAAGGCCUCCGCUUUAAGAUGAACCUGCGUCCUAUUAGCUUGUUGGUAAGGUAAUGGCUUACCAAGGCUAUGAUGGGUAGCCGGCCUGAGAGGGUGAUCGGCCACACUGGGACUGAGAUACGGCCCAGACUCCUACGGGAGGCAGCAGUAGGGAAUAUUGCGCAAUGGGCGAAAGCCUGACGCAGCGACACCGUGUGAAGGAUGAAGGUCUUCGGAUCGUAAACUUCUGUCAAUCGGGGACGAAGGUAAUAAGGUUAAUAGCCUUUAUUAUUGACGGUACCCAAUAAGGAAGUCUCGGCUAACUCCGUGCCAGCAGCCGCGGUAAGACGGAGGAGGCAAGCGUUGUCCGGAAUCAUUGGGCGUAAAGAGCGCGUAGGCGGUUUUUCAAGUCGUAUGUGAAAACUUCAGGCUUAACCUGAUGAUUGCAUAUGAAACUGGAUAACUUGAGUACAGCAGAGGAAAGUGGAAUUCCUGGCGUAGCGGUGAAAUGUGCAGAUAUCAGGAAGAACACCGGUAGCGAAGGCGGCUUUCUGGGCUGUUACUGACGCUGAGGCGCGAAAGCUAGGGGAGCAAACAGGAUUAGAUACCCUGGUAGUCCUAGCCGUAAACGAUGGACACUAGGUGUGGGAAGUUAUCGACGCUUUCUGUGCCGAAGCUAACGCAUUAAGUGUCCCGCCUGGGGAGACGGCCGCAAGGCU